rnacentral:ncRNA from 23 species
UAAAUAAAAGGGAAUGAGGUUCUCCCUCGAUUUAAUCGAAACCGCUUAUAACAAGCUGAUGACUUCUGUGCAAUA